rnacentral:snoRNA from 1 species
CGAGGUCUUAUGAUGAUACACUUCCAAAUGCAUAGUUCAUCUGACUAUUAAUGAUGAAAACUUUCCUUCAAGUCUUUCGCUCCCAUCUGAUCAUACCUCU